rnacentral:rRNA from 1 species
GGGGGGGGGGGGGGGGGGGCCGAGCACAUGCAAGGCGGGCGGGGGAAGGGAGCUGGCGCCUGGAUUCAGCGGCGGACGGGUGAGUAAUGCCUAGGAAUCUGCCUGGUAGUGGGGGAUAACGUCCGGAAACGGGCGCUAAUACCGCAUACGUCCUGAGGGAGAAAGUGGGGGAUCUUCGGACCUCACGCUAUCAGAUGAGCCUAGGUCGGAUUAGCUAGUUGGUGGGGUAAAGGCCUACCAAGGCGACGAUCCGUAACUGGUCUGAGAGGAUGAUCAGUCACACUGGAACUGAGACACGGUCCAGACUCCUACGGGAGGCAGCAGUGGGGAAUAUUGGACAAUGGGCGAAAGCCUGAUCCAGCCAUGCCGCGUGUGUGAAGAAGGUCUUCGGAUUGUAAAGCACUUUAAGUUGGGAGGAAGGGCAGUAAGUUAAUACCUUGCUGUUUUGACGUUACCAACAGAAUAAGCACCGGCUAACUUCGUG